CUAUCAGUAGUCCAAUCUGGCAGGACGCUUGAUUUGGGUUCAAGAGGUUGUUGGUUCAAAUCCAGCCUGAUAGACCA
rnacentral:tRNA from 1 species